UUCGUUGUGUUGUAACAGAAACAG
rnacentral:tRNA from 1 species